rnacentral:siRNA from 1 species
CGCAUAGAGCUAUCAAGCGAGCCA